AUGACUCCCAGACCCAUCUCACUACUGCUGUUACUGGCAGCUGCAUCCUAUGUGCAUUCAGCUGUUGACCUCACUCAGCCCAGCUCAGUGGUUGUCAGGCCUGGAGAGGAAAUGACCAUCAGCUGUAAGGUGGCUGGAUACUCUCUGACCUCCUGCUGUACCUAUGCAACAGGAUGGAUCCACCAGCCUGCAGGGAAAGCAUUGGAGUGGAUAAACCAAAUUUGGGCAGAUGAUGAUACCAGAAUGGCAGAAUCCCUGAAGAGCAAGUUCAGCAUCUCUAGAGAUGCCUCCAGCAGCACUGUGACUCUGAGAGGCCAGAACAUGCAGCCUGGAGACUCUGCUGUCUACUACUGUGCCAGAUAUGAUGACCACUGUGGUAACAACAAGUACAAGACUCGUACAAAAACACAAUCUCAAGAGGAUUUCUUCCUGCAAGUUCCCUGA